CCUACGGGUCGCAGCAGUAGGGAAUCUUCCACAAUGUGCGAAAGCCUGAUGGAGCAACGCCGCGUGGGUGAAGAAGGUCUUCGGAUCGUAAAACCCUGUUGUUAGAGAAGAAAGUGCGUGAGAGUAACUGUUCACGUUUCGACGGUAUCUAACCAGCAAGUCACGGCUAACUACGCGCCAGCAGCCGCGGUAAUCCGUCGGUGUCAAGCGUUAUCCGGAUUUAUUGGGCGUAAAGGGAACGCAGGCGGUCUUUUACGUCUGAUGUGAAAGCCUUCGGCUUAACCGGAGUAGUGCAUUGGAAACUGGGAGACGUGAGUGCAGAAGAGGAGAGUGGAACUCCAUGUGUAGCGGUGAAAUGCGUAGAUAUAUGGAAGAACACCAGUGGCGAAAGCGGCUCUCUGGUCUGUAACUGACGCUGAGGUUCGAAAGCGUGGGUAGCAAACAGGAUUAGAUACCCCUGUAGUC
rnacentral:rRNA from 1 species